CCUACGGGUGGCUGCAGUGAGGAAUAUUGGUCAAUGGACGCAAGUCUGAACCAGCCAUGCCGCGUGCAGGAAGACGGCUCUAUGAGUUGUAAACUGCUUUUGUACGGGGGUAAACGCAGAUACGCGUACCUGUCUGAAAGUUACGUACGAAUAAGGAUCGGCUAACUCCGUGCCCGCAGCCGCGGGAAUACGGAGGAAUCAAGCGUUAUCCGGCUUUAUUGGGGUUAAAGGGUGGGUAGGCGGGCGGAUAAGGUAGAGGGGAAAUACCGAGGAGCAAACUCGGAAUUGCCUGUGAUACUGUUCGGCUAGAGAGUAGGUGCGGUAGGCGGAAUGUAUGGUGUAGCGGUGAAAUGCUUAGAGAUCAUACAGAACACCGAUUGCGAAGGCAGCUUACCAAGCUACUUCUGACGUUGAGGCACGAAAGCGUGGGGAGCGAACAGGAUUAGAUACCCUGGUAGUC
rnacentral:rRNA from 1 species